CAGUCAUUUUUUUUAAGAGAAUAAACCAAUUAUACAGAAAAUUAUCUUGGAUCUUCUCUUAGGCAAUGCAUUAGUGGAAGCCUCUUUAGAAAAAUACUGUCUUGAGUCUCUUGACAUUUAUGUUCCUAAUUUCCUAUACUUCACGUCUAUCAUCGCAUCAUAUUUCAGUCAAUUUUAACCGACUGCCAAUCUAUUAUUGCUUGAAAACAAUUUUUUUUGCAGGGUCUGAGACUCUAGCUUCUUGGCAGGCGAACCUACUCUCUGAACCCGUUCAAUUUGAGGUUCUCUAGUGGAGGUACGGACUACAGAGGAAAAGGAAGAGAAAUUAUUGAAAGGGGGUGAUGUGAUUUGAAUUUGAUAAAACCCGUAUGAGAUCUCAGAGCAUUUGGUUGACAAGAAGCAAAAAAAAGAAAGAAUUGGGUUUAUAAUCAAGGAAAAUGAUGAAGAUUUUGAGUUGGGUUUUGGUUGUAUCGGUCCAGUUAUCUGUUUUAGAAAUUGGGUCUUCUUCAAUCGAUGAAUUCCACCAAGCCUAUGUCAUAAUUUCUCCCAUUCUCUUGCUUUUCUUCUAUUUUUUUUUAUUGAUUGAUGUUGGUUAAAAUAAGGUUUUUCCCUCUUGGUUAGUUUUGACAUGCAUGUCGUUCUCAUCCCGCCUCCUCCAAGCCUUCCAUAUAGUGGUCUUUUGGGCUCCAAAUAGCCAUAUAGCAGUUCUAAAGUUUUGCAAUCCCUUUAGGACUGUGAUCUCCAGUCUCAGUUACUUGGUCCUUUGUGCUAUGUUAUGGAUAUUUUGGGUGGUCUAUUUAUUGUUCAUUGUUAAAGAUUCCUUUAAUUAUUUUUUCGUUCGCCUCUAAGGUGCAUGCUGCUCAACUUAUUUGUAGGCCUUAAGAGUGUAGUAGCUUCCGUGUUCGUCUGCAUAGAUAUCCAGCUAACUUAUUUGUAGUUUUUGACAAAAAAACAAUUGGUUGUGUUGUUCAUAUAAAGAUUGCAUUGUGUUUACUCAAAUAAACAUGGAAAUUUGUAUUUCACUUGCUUUAUUAGCGAGCUGCUUAAUACCGAGCCGAUAGAAAUCAAGUUUGCUUGUUGCUAAUUCUUGUUUUCUUUUAUUUGAGAUCUGAUUUGUUUAAUCUAGGGUUUCUUCAUUUGUUAUUCCAUUCGGCCUUUUGGUUUUCGUUGUUGAUUCAGUGGAGCUUAGGAAGCAAAUCUUUUGUUCUCUUCAUUUCUCCAACAAAACCGAUAGCUAUGUUGCCUUCAAGGUAAAAGCGACGAUUCCAGGAAGUAUUGCGUUCGUCCAAAUGCCGGUGUUGUUUUGCCUCAAUCAACAUGUGAUAUUAUAGAGUGACUAUGCAAGCACAAAAGGAGACCCCUUCUGAUAUGCAAUAACAGACACAACAUAAAAAGGGGGGAACGAGCAACCAACAACACUGCAACUGCAUAGGAGGGAGGAUCAGUUCACAAGGCUGUUGGCACUAUCUGACAAAGAAAAGCAACAGCAGCAAUUAUUGGUUGUACUUGCAAGAAGGAGAGAGAACAGUAGUAUAAGUAAAGAAGGAGAGGAAAGAGAAAGGCAUGUGAGAAAUUGGUAAAGCUUAGGCUUUGGAGAGUGGUGACCUCAAGUCACUAAACCUGAAGAUUUGUAGCCUCAAGCUACUACUUUUGUACCCCUUUUGUGUUCUUCAUCCAUCAAGCAAUUUAACAUCAUUUAUGCCAUUAAAUUUCUGCUCCAAAUAGUCAGUUCAUCUCAAAAGCAUAAUAGCGAACCACGGGACGCUUGUUAAAGAUAUCACUCCAGAAAUGUUUAGCAAGGAGGCAGGACAUGUUGUCGAGGAGUGCUAAUUGAGAGUGGUCUAUUUGUCCCCACCAGUCCACCACAACCACUGUCACCAGUUCCUGAAUGCUCUGAAGAAGGCGGUUCUCCUAGAGGAUCUGUUUUCGACAAUGGUCAUUUUAGUUCUUCUGAGUCUGCCGUUAUUUCUUGGAGCUAGCACUGCAAUUUGGAAAUAUUGGGCCGUGGAAUCAUGUUGGCAUUACUCAAAUGGUGAAUUGGGUCAUGCAAAAUCAAGACCGAGUUAGCUGUCAACUAAUUAAGUCUUUUUACAUUUGAAAUUGAAGGGCUUGGUGCAAAGUUAUUUCUCUACAUCUUUCCGAGCUGCUAAAUUUACCGCUUUUAUUGCACUUCUCACUAUUUGCUCAUUGUUUGACGCAUAACACAUGCUACACAUCGGUUAGAUGGGAUUGUUAGCUUCUCCCUUGUAUCACCUAACAUUGCCCACAGAUCUCUAAUCAUGCCUUGCCUAUGUUUUUUUUAAGAGCCUUAUUUAGCCUGUGAUGCUUUCUGCAAUUGAAUUCUACACACUCUAAGCUUGAUCACAUUAACUGUACAAAAUCUAGGCUGGUUGGUGAGAACGGUGAUUUUGGUUGCUGCACAAUUACUGAUUUUUGUUGUUUCCUGAAAUCAACUUUUGUUUUAAAUUCCAGAAUUAAAAAAUGUGCUCGAUUCCAGUCAAUUCUUGACAAAACUGGGAUAUUAUAUUCGGGUAUAUCCAAAUACUGCAAUUACCCUUAUACCUUUGAUAUCCCUGUCUAGCAAUUCAGUUAGUCUCACAUUUGAUAUCCCUGUCUAACAAGGUACAAGGGUAUAUCCAAAUGAUGCAAUUACCUUUGAUGUGUAACUGAUUUACUGAACAUAAUAUUUGUGAAAUGAGUUCACGUGCACAUGUACACAAUUACUGAACACAAUUGGUUAUCAACACAUGCUUGGCAUUCUGCCAUUCUGGUGUUUGGUUUAGGCAUGGUGAGGUGUAGGAUUUUUAUAUAGGUUAUAUUAUAGAAUCUUCCUAGAAUUUUUCUUGAGCAGCUUUCUGCUACUGUAUUAUUCUGCUGAGCUGCUAGCUUAAUGGGGAAGGUGCAAUUGCAUAUUUGGUAACUUUCAUCUUUCUAACUCUGUUACUGUAUUAUUAUGCUCCGCUGUUAUCUGUACCUCGAGCCUCAAACAUAAAUUCAGCAUUGCGUACAUCAUUUCUCUUCUGAACAAUGAGAUCAUUAAGAGCCACACUGACAAUGCUUGGUUUUAACCUGAUGUUGGUUUCCUAGAUCAUGAAAGUAUGGAACUGGCGAGGGGGAUUUUGAGACUCCUUUGAAUUCCUUCAUAAAGCUAAGGAUCAUAUUCAUAAUUGGAGGAAGACCGCUCCAAAUUUGGCUUCUAUUCUGUUUCUAACAUCAUCAAUAUGGUUUAUAUACGUGGGCUUAAGGCUUUGAGUUCAAUUUUGUUGUCAGCUCCAUGGUUCCAACAAAGAGAAGAAAUAUCUUGUUUCAAGACUACUUAAACAAGUCGGAUAUUAUAGGUUUGCUUGAUAGAGAUGAUACAUGUGAAAGAAGUUGCAAGCAUUUCAGUAGAAAGAGAACGUUUUAGAAGCUUGUCUAUUAUAUGCAAAUACGACUUUAUUAUGACAUUUCUCA